rnacentral:rRNA from 1 species
GGGUGAUCUGCCUCGUACUUUGGGAUAAGCCUGGGAAACUGGGUCUAAUACCGAAUAUGACCUCUGGAUGCAUGUCUGGUGGUGGAAAGUUUUUCGGUACGAGAUGGGCCCGCGGCCUAUCAGCUUGUUGGUGGGGUAAUGGCCUACCAAGGCGACGACGGGUAGCCGGCCUGAGAGGGCGACCGGCCACACUGGGACUGAGACACGGCCCAGACUCCUACGGGAGGCAGCAGUGGGGAAUAUUGCACAAUGGGCGCAAGCCUGAUGCAGCGACGCCGCGUGAGGGAUGACGGCCUUCGGGUUGUAAACCUCUUUCACCAGGGACGAAGAGUGAUUGACGGUACCUGGAGAAGAAGCACCGGCCAACUACGUGCCAGCAGCCGCGGUAAUACGUAGGGUGCGAGCGUUGUCCGGAAUUACUGGGCGUAAAGAGCUCGUAGGCGGUUUGUCGCGUCGUUCGUGAAAUCUUGAUGCUUAACAUCAAGCGUGCGGGCGAUACGGGCAGACUUGAGUACUACAGGGGAGACUGGAAUUCCUGGU